UCCCACUUAAAUGCUAAUAGAAGCUGACUUUGAUUUUCCUGCAAUUUUGUGUAUUUCUUAUUAUAAUGCAAUACUUCAUAUGUAUGUUUUACUUCAAGCGGCAGUAAUUCAAGUUUGA
rnacentral:lncRNA from 1 species